AUUGAACGCUGGCGGCAUGCUUUACACAUGCAAGUCGAACGGUAACAGGCCGCAAGGUGCUGACGAGUGGCGAACGGGUGAGUAAUGCAUCGGAGCGUGCCCAGUCGUGGGGGAUAACGCAGCGAAAGCUGCGCUAAUACCGCAUACGAUCUAUGGAUGAAAGCGGGGGACCGUAAGGCCUCGCGCGAUUGGAGCGGCGGAUGUCAGAUUAGGUAGUUGGUGGGGUAAAGGCUCACCAAGCCAACGAUCUGUAGCUGGUCUGAGAGGACGACCAGCCACACUGGGACUGAGACACGGCCCAGACUCCUACGGGAGGCAGCAGUAAGGAAUUUUGGACAAUGGGCGCAAGCCAAAUCCAGCAAUGCCGCGUGCAGGAAGAAGGCCUUCGGGUAGUAAAAUGAGUGGGUACGGAACGAAACGUAGAGGGGGAAUACCUGGGGCUAAUGACGGUACCGUAAGAAUAAGCACCGGCUAACUACGUGCCAGCCGCCGCGGUAAUAC
rnacentral:rRNA from 1 species